GAUGAAUGUUGGCGGCGUGCCUAAUACAUGCAAGUCGAGCGGACCUCUUCGGAGGUCAGCGGCGGACGGGUGAGUAACACGUGGGCAACCUGCCUGUAAGACUGGGAUAACUCCGGGAAACCGGAGCUAAUACCGGAUAUUAUUUCAAACCGCAUGGUUUGAAAUUCAAAGACGGUUUCGGCUGUCACUUACAGAUGGGCCCGCGGCGCAUUAGCUAGUUGGGGAGGGAAUGGCUCACCAAGGCAACGAUGCGUAGCCGACCUGAGAGGGUGAUCGGCCACACUGGGACUGAGACACGGCCCAGACUCCUACGGGAGGCAGCAGUAGGGAAUCUUCCGCAAUGGACGAAAGUCUGACGGAGCAACGCCGCGUGAGUGAUGAAGGUUUUCGGAUCGUAAAACUCUGUUGUCAGGGAAGAACAAGUGCCGGAGUAACUGCCGGCACCUUGACGGUACCUGACCAGAAAGCCACGGCUAACUACGUGCCAGCAGCCGCGGUAA
rnacentral:rRNA from 1 species